rnacentral:lncRNA from 1 species
AAACGUGUAACCAAUUACACUUGACAUUAAAAAAUUAGAAAUUAAUUCAGCUUCAGUGGUAACUGGUACACCAUUUCUAAUAACCGGUUACGCCUUCGAAAACUUCACCUUUCUACUAUUGAAAAGCAUCUCAGGUAUUGUUGUAACCAAUUACAUAUCCGUCGUAACCGGUUAAGAUAUUUGAAUUACUUCAACAAACUUUAAAAGAUGAGAGAAAG